UAGAGCGUAAUCUUUAGUCGGAGAGGAUGAGUUCUGAUGAGACUCGCAUCCCAUUGAAACAAGAAAUCCCAAUUAGCGACCCUUAUCUUCGUUUAUGGUAGAAUAUGAGUGUUGUUGUACUAAUGGGUGCUUUGGUUGUUGUUAUGUGCUUGAUUUAUGUUGUUUUUCCUGCUUGGGGCGUUGUUACUACAUCGCCGGGUGAUUUGGGUAGGUGACCUAUUAACAAAGCCGGGUAUUCUGAUGUUCUGUUGCUUGCUUAUUCUGUCCCGGGGAUGAGAUUAAGCAACCAUGCACCUUCCUUGAGGGGAUAAAAUUUGUGUGUUCGUUUCCUACAGUUGUUUCAUGGUUCUUGUUGUAACUCAUGAAAUAAAUUGAACAGCCGUUUGGCUUUGUUUCGGCUGUAAUGAAUCUUAUGAACCGAGGGUGUUGUGUUGUACUAUAUGUGCUUGGGUGUGCCCAGGUGUUCCACUUAUUCUAGCAAUCACAGUGCAACAUGAUGGAGAUACUUGGAAAGGUGCGUGACAAAAAGUUCAAUAAGCGUCUUGCAGGCCUACGAGAGUUGCUUUGCGGGAUGACAUCUAAACAAUGGCAUUCAUGUCUUGCUCUCCUCUCUCACUCUGAACGUGAAUGUUCAUCUUUAGCGGUGGUAGAAUGCCACUAUGGAGAAAGGGCCAUGGGAUUUCGGAAAGUGCAUCAAUCUCAUUAGCUUAAAAGAAAGAAGCAAAUGCUAACAUCCAAUCAAUAAAAGAAAGAAAUUGACAAGACUGGUGGGUGGGCAUUGCAUGCUAAACAAACACAGACCAACCCACUGCAAAUCACUUGUUCCACAAGAGCUUUCUCAAUUUAGACCAUUUCAUUUCCCAUACCAAAUGCUCUACAAUUCUACACUAACAUGUAUCAGCUACUAGUUAACUCACUAGUAUCAUUUCUAGGCCAACUCUCUGUUGAUCUCUGCAAUUUGAAGUCGGUCGUUUCAGCAGAAAAAAAAAAGAGUUAAUAAGGAGGCUACCGUUGUCGAGGAGUCAGACGAGGCCUACACAUCACCUGGGUUCCCACCAAGUUAUCCACCACCAGAAUCAUAUCCACCGGUACCACCACCACCUGGGUACAUACCAAUUUAUCCACAAUUUAUCCACCACCAGCAUCAUACUCUCCGGUACCACCACCACCUGGAUUUCAGGGAUACUUCAAUGAUGGUGGUCCACCACCUCAACAGCCCUACCAACAGGUCCAGGAAGAUGAUGACUCAGGCUGCUGCCCUUUUCUAAAAGGAUGGUAGAUACCCUUCGCCCUAUUAACUUUCCAGAAUUUCUGUUUCUGUCAUUCUAACUAAGGCUUAUGUUAUAUCUACCACUUUUACAGUGCUGCUGUACUCUGUUGCUGUUGCGCGUUGGACUGUUUGUUAUAGUCCGAGCUUUGAUUUGCAUAUUCUCUAUUCUACUGGAGGCUGGUUUCUACGUUUCUUUCAACAAAUACACUACUAAGUUCAGUGCUCCUAUAUGUGUUUUAAUGUGUACUGUGUCAGACGAAUAACACUA